GGGGAUAUAGCUCAGUUGGUGGAGUGUUUUCCUUGCAUGCACAAAGCCCUGGGUUUGAUCCCCAGUACCACA
rnacentral:tRNA from 1 species